rnacentral:sRNA from 1 species
UAACCACUUAACACCAGGUGAGCUGUGA